CUGCCGGCGACCGGCGCACGGGUGAGUAACACGUAUGCAACCUGCCCCCGCAGGGGGAUAACCCGGAGAAAUCCGGACUAAUACCGCGUGGUACACCAGUGGGGCAUCCCACUGGUGUUAAAAGGAAGUGAUUCCGGCGGAGGAUGGGCAUGCGGCGCAUUAGCUUGUUGGCGGGGUAACGGCCCACCAAGGCGACGAUGCGUAGGGGUUCUGAGAGGAAGGUCCCCCACACUGGUACUGAGACACGGACCAGACUCCUACGGAAGGCAGCAG
rnacentral:rRNA from 1 species